rnacentral:rRNA from 1 species
UACGGCUACAUCUCGUUGAAACUCCAGUUCCCGUACGAUCAUCGAAGUUAAGCAACGUCGAGACUGAUCAGUACCUAGAUGAGUGACCGUUUGGGAAUACCAGGUGCUGUAAG